rnacentral:lncRNA from 1 species
CAUUGCCAGAAAACAGGAGGAAGAGCAGGUCUGGAGUAAGCCUCUUCAUGAAAGGAUGUUUUCCAACUGAUAACUACUGGGCCAGAGGAUCCCUUAUACUGUUGUACGUAUUUGGGGUCUGUGAAUCCUUGCCAACAUAGAAGCUGAUGGAGUCUGAGGAAUGACACACACUGAGAAAACCAAGCAUCAUCAUUACAGACACUGUGUGAACUCCCUGCCUGCCACCCACACAGCACAGUCAUGGUUAUGUCCAUGCUUAUGUAGGCCUGGGCUCUGCCUAGCUGCGGGUGAUUUCAUCAGUGGAUGCCGCUCAGUUUGCCCCUGCCUGCUGGCUGGCUCGUCCCCAGCCCCAGGCAUCAGGGUGCCCCAUGGUGGGGCCUGUGUGGCCCUGGCCCUUCUCUGCUGCCCCAGGGCUGUGAAGCCACAGGUCGGCCCCCUCGUUCCUUGAUGCUCUCUGUCCAUUGUCUCUACAAAUACAAAGAGAGUCUCUGAACAGGACAAAGCACAUUUCCUCCUUCCUUGGGCCUGGCAUCAGCGACGAUGCCACCUGUGUGGGGGAGGACUCAGUGGGUAGUGUCCUGGCUUCCCUUCAGCCCCACAGAGCUUCCCUCAAACCUUGCUGACAGCUGGGCGCUCUCAGUAAACUGAGGCAAGCCUGGGCCUAGACCAGUGUGUGGGGGCGUGUGCUGUGGGCAGGGAGGAUGAGAGAGCUGGCCUCAGGAUGGGGGUGGAAACACCCUGCGGUGCCUCUACAGGGAAAACCAGGUCCUUCAAGUCUGUGUGACCUCAGAUCCCAAAUAAGUCAAUGCCGGCCUCCCCUCCCCGUCCCUCAGAGCAGGGCCUAGGAGUUGGGGAGGGGCAGCUUUGCACACCCCUUGCCCUGGGAUCCUGGGGUGCAAGAGUAGGACGAGGACAGUCGGCUCAGAGGGGACAGAGAUCUUGCUAGUUUGCUCUGUGCCCCUUUAGCCCACACUCAUGUCCCUGCAUACACUGGACCCUCCUAUUGCCUGGAAGUUGUCCUGCCUCCUGCCGCUGCCCCUACCCGCUAAGAGAUCCAGAUCCCCAAAUAAAGCCACACUGGACCCCAGGAUCCCA